GGGUCAGUAGGUUGGUCGUGCCACCGGUACGUACUGGUCUCACUGAUUCCUCCUUCCUGAAGAACCGUAGUGCCAUUAAUUUGGUGUUGCGGGGAAACAGGCCUGUUACUUCGAAAAAAUUAGAGUGUUUAAAGCAAGCUAACGUUUGAAUACAUUAGCAUGGAAUAAUGAAAUAGGACGAUCGAUCCUAUUUUGUUGGUUUCUAGGAUUGACGUA
rnacentral:rRNA from 1 species